rnacentral:ncRNA from 1 species
UAUAAUGCGAUGAUUAGAAGGAGUAAAGGCUGUCAUAUCAUAAAGAGAGGAAGUGGUUGGUGAAAACUUCUUGAUAUAGGUCAUUGAAGCUGUCUAGGAGCUAUAAAUGUUUGAGAGAUAUUUAAUACAUAGCAAAUAUAUGACUAUGUAUUUAUAUAAGUAGGGUGGUACCGCGGAAACUUUCGUCCCUUAG